rnacentral:rRNA from 1 species
GAUAAACGCUGGCGGCGUGCUUAACACAUGCAAGUCGAACGGACUGAUGAGAGAGCUUGCUCUUUCUGAAAGUUAGUGGCGGACGGGUGAGUAACGCGUGGGAAACCUGCCUUACACUGGGGGAUAACAGAUGGAAACGCCUGUUAAUACCGCAUAAGCGCACGGUGCUGCAUGGCACCGUGUGAAAAACUCCGGUGGUGUAAGAUGGUCCCGCGUCUGAUUAGCUAGUUGGUGAGGUAACGGCCCACCAAGGCGACGAUCAGUAGCCGGCCUGAGAGGGCGUACGGCCACAUUGGGACUGAGACACGGCCCAAAACUCCUACGGGAGGCAGCAGUGGGGAAUAUUGCACAAUGGAGGAAACUCUGAUGCAGCGACGCCGCGUGAGUGAAGAAGUAUCUCGGUAUGUAAAAACUCUAAUCAGCAGGGAAGAUAAUGACGGUACCUGACUAAGAAGCACCGGCUAAAUACGUG